CCUACGGGCGGCUGCAGUGGGGAAUAUUGCACAAUGGGCGCAAGCCUGAUGCAGCCAUGCCGCGUGUGUGAAGAAGGCCUUCGGGUUGUAAAGCACUUUCAGCGGGGAGGAAGGCGGUGAGGUUAAUAACCUCAUCGAUUGACGUUACCCGCAGCAGAAGCACCGGCUAACUCCGUGCCAGCAGCCGCGGUAAUACGGAGGGUGCAAGCGUUAAUCGGAAUUACUGGGCGUAAAGCGCACGCAGGCGGUCUGUCAAGUCGGAUGUGAAAUCCCCGGGCUCAACCUGGGAACUGCAUUCGAAACUGGCAGGCUAGAGUCUUGUAGAGGGGGGUAGAAUUCCAGGUGUAGCGGUGAAAUGCGUAGAGAUCUGGAGGAAUACCGGUGGCGAAGGCGGCCCCCUGGACAAAGACUGACGCUCAGGUGCGAAAGCGUGGGGAGCAAACAGGAUUAGAUACCCCUGUAGUC
rnacentral:rRNA from 1 species